rnacentral:lncRNA from 1 species
AUGAUGAGGGACUCAGGGGAAUUCUGGCUCAGGAUGUCACCAGCCCCAGUCUCCACUGGGAUAACUGUUCCCUGCCAUCUGCACAGCCUUGGAUGCAGCCACCCAAGGGCUAAACCCAACUUCCCACGAGACAGCAGCAGCACUGCGGGACCUGCAGAGAUGGAUGUCGGUGUUAAAUAUUCAUCAGAGGUGUGGAAUUUACUGGAAGCGCCCAUUAGGAGCCACGCCGUGCCUCCUCCACGCUGCCCGUCCUCCGUGUGCCCACGCCGUGCCUCCUCCACACUGCCCAUCCUCCACGUGCCCACGCUGUGCCUCCUCCACGAUGCCCGUCCUCCAUGUGCCCACACCGUGCCUACAGGCAAAUACCUCUCUCCUCUCGUCCUGCCCCAGCCACGCCGUGCCUCCUCCACGCUGCCCGUCCUGCCUCCUCCACGCUGCCCGUCCUCCAUGUGCCCACGCCGGGACGCGCUGCCAGACCCUCCUCUCCGCCGCCGCUGGGUUUUGGCCCCCGCUGCCUGCUGGCGUUUUGGCAGCCUCACCGCUCCAGCGAUGGCAUGUGUCCAUUUUUUUUUUUUUUUUUUUUUCCUUUUUUUUUUUUUUUUUUUUUCCUUCUUCUCUCUCCCUUUCACAAUCCGUCCUCCCCAGCCUUCUCUGCCGGUGCCUCCGGAGCCGCCUGCGGUGCCAGCUCGCAGGGAAAUUGGCAGCGAGCGCGGCACAGGGAUCCUCCCGCAGCUGACGGAGCCCUGCCAGGCGCAGGCAGCCCUUCUGCCAGCCACCAGCCUUGGCACGGGGGGCCGGGGGGCCGUGGGGGGCUGCCGAGGCUUCCCCCCCCCCCCCCCCCCCCCCCCCCCCCCCCCCCCCCCCCCCCCCCCCCCCCCCCCCCCCCCCCCCCCCCCCCCCCCCCCCCCCCCCCCCCCCCCCUGGCACCGGCACGGCGCGCCCCAGCCGCCGCCACGGCUCCGCUGCCAAAUGCCAAACGGGGGGAGGAACGGGCAGAGAAAGGAGUUGGCUUCGCCGCGCCCGGUGGCAGGGACCCACCAGGGACCCCUUCCCUUCGCCAAGGCCAGCUGGGCGAUGUCCUCGUCCCUCGGCAGCCUGCCCGUGGUGCCGGUGCCACAUGGAGAGGCUGUGCCCCCAGCCCAGCUGGGAAAGCCCAUGGCAGGGAUGGGAGGGAUGGGAGGGAUGGCAGGGAUGGCAGAGAUGGCAGAAAUGGCAGAGAUGGCAGGGAUGGCAGGGACAGCAAGGCUGGCAGGGACAGCAGGGAUGGCAGGGCUGGCAGAGAUGGCACGGACGGCAGAGAUGGCAGGGAUGGCAGGGCUGGCAGGGAUGGCAAGGCUGGCAGGGGUGGCAGGGAUGGCAGAGAUGGCAGUGCUGGCAGGGAUGGCAGGGAUGGCAGGGACAGCAGAAAUGACAAGGACAGCAGUGAUGGCAGGGAUGGCAGGGAUGGCAGGGAUGGCAGGGACGGCUGGCAGGGAUGGCAGGGAGGGCAGGGACAGCAGAAAUGACAAGGACAGCAGUGAUGGCAGGGAUGGCAGGGAUGGCAGGGAUGGCAGGGACGGAGGGAUGGCAGGGAUGGCAGGGAUGGCAGAGAUGACAAGGACAGCCAGGGAUGGCAGUGAUGGCAAUGCUGGCAGGGCUGGCAGGGCUGGCAGGGCUGGCAGGGCUUGCAGGGCUGGCAGGGCUGGCAGGGACAGCAGAGAUGACAAGGACAGCAGUGAUGGCAGGGCUGGCAGGGCUGGCAGGGCUGGCAGGGAUGGCAGGGACAGCAGACCGGCGAUGCUGCGUGGCGAGGACGGCUCCCACAGACACACCUCUUACCCAGCAUCCGUCUGCUGCUUAGGGGGGCCCGGGAAAUUGGGAAGGGGAGAGCGGAGGAGGGACUUGUGGUGAUGGGUGGGGGUUCUGGGGUGCCCUCUGGCCGUGUGUCGGCUGGCACGGCCGUCUCAGCAACAGAGCAUCCCCAACUCGUGCCAAAAUCCUGGCCCCAGUGGUUCAGUCGUGCCAUGACUCCAACCUGGCCAACCAGCAGUGUAGCAGCCAGCCCUGCUUUUCUGGCUUUUCUUCCCAAAACUCCUGGUUUGGGUGUCUCUUUGAAAGUAGAAGUGGGUAUGUGGCUUGUGCCUCCACUGUAGCGUGGAUGCUCCCGGUGCCAAUGCCUUUAGAGGGCCCCUAAGGCCAAGGGACACGGAUGGGAAUCACCAGGCAGGAGACAGGGAACAGCCCAGUUCCAGGAAAUCAGUCAUUUCCUGGGAGCCACAUUCACAGGGGAGCUGGGGCAGGCACCAGGAGCACCCAGAGAGCAGUGGCCAUCCCUGCUUAACAGCUUCCCCCCCUAACCAGGGAUGUCUUUAAUGCAGCUGGCAGGAGGAGCCCUCCACGGGGAGCACGGGCUGUGAGUGGGUCCCACUGGCCCAUCCCAUCCUCCUGCCACGCUUCAGCCGCUGUCCCCGCGGGGUGGCAGCUCCUGGCAUGGCAGUGACCGUCUGUUUGUGCCGUGAGAACAUUCCCAGAGCCAUCCCCGUGUGCCCCGUGCCCCCGCGCCCCGCUGGCUGUCCCCGGCCUGCCCGUGUCACACGUGCGCCCGCCAUCUCCUCAAAUAAGCAGCUAAUCUCCAUCAAUCAUAAUUCCGGGCAAUUAUCAUAAUAGGGCCAUUUUGCACUUAUCCUCGCCACGUGACGCAGGAGCCACUUACAGCUCCACUUCGCACCGAGCAGCUCCGAGCUGCUGCUGUCCCCGGGGAGUGCCCGUGGCACUCGUGUCCCCUGCAGCCCCUGGGGACAGCCAGCGGUGGAUGCUCGUCCUGGGAGGGAUGCAGGCAAGGAGGGACCCGUGAAACACGGAGGAAAACGAGAGAAAGAGGGAGAGCUUGCCCCUGCCUCGUGCCAUCCUGCAGCAGUACGGGGUUAGACCCCAAAAUGGGGACAAUGGGGACACUCAAUCUGCUCUCAGGGUGGUGCCAAUGCCGCGUGGGUGCCAAGGCACAGGGCCAGCAGCCCCUGCUGACCUGCUGCUGCCUGGCAGGGAGCAGCUUAGGGAGGCUGGGGAGUGGUGAGGCACGAGGGCCUCGGGAUUAGGGGCCAGCAGAUGGAUGGAGAUCAAACAUUUCACUGCCUCUUGUUUACAGCAUCCUGCUGAACAGCCACCGGGGACCCCAGCACUGCUCUGGCUCUGUCCCUCCUUGGGCUGGGGCAGGAUGGGGAGAGCUUUUUGGGGUGUCCCACUGGGGAUGAACAGGCUCCCACCUUGCUGUGCUGCGUCCUCACUCUGAGUAACAUCACAGUGGAAGCUGCCAGUGCCCCCAUCCCAUCCCAUCCCAUCCCAUCCCAUCCCAUCCCAUCCCAUCCCAUCCCAUCCCAUCC